rnacentral:rRNA from 1 species
GACGAACGCUGGCGGCGCGCCUAACACAUGCAAGUCGAACGAGCGAGAGAGAGCUUGCUUUCUCGAGCGAGUGGCGAACGGGUGAGUAACGCGUGAGGAACCUGCCUCAAAGAGGGGGACAACAGUUGGAAACGACUGCUAAUACCGCAUAAGCCCACGACCCGGCAUCGGGUAGAGGGAAAAGGAGCAAUCCGCUUUGAGAUGGCCUCGCGUCCGAUUAGCUAGUUGGUGAGGUAACGGCCCACCAAGGCGACGAUCGGUAGCCGGACUGAGAGGUUGAACGGCCACAUUGGGACUGAGACACGGACCAGACUCCUACGGGAGGCAGCAGUGGGGAAUAUUGCACAAUGGGGGAAACCCUGAUGCAGCGACGCCGCGUGGAGGAAGAAGGUCUUCGGAUUGUAAACUCCUGUUGUAGAGGAAGAUAAUGACGGUACUCAACAAGGAAGUGACGGCUAACUACGUG